UUUUGGUGGUUUUUAGCUUUUUAAUAAAUGAUUGGAGGGGGAAAUUAUUGUGUUUGGAUGCUUUAAUUUUUGGGGAGAGAGAAAAAGAGAGAGAGAGAGAGAGAAUCUUAUGAUGUUGUGCAUUGGUUGGAGUAAAAAUAAUGGAAUUAAUAAUAAUAAUAAUAAUAAUAAUAUGGAGAACAUGAGGGGUAUCAAAUUUAUUAAAUAUAAUAAUUAGCUUUAAUUACUAAACAGUGAUAAAAUUUAAUGAAUUUAUUUUUAGAUGUGAAAUUUUAUUGAAGUGCUUCAAUUUUUGAGGAGGAUAUAAAGGGGGAGAGAGAGAGAGAAACUCAUGAUUAUUAUACAUAUUAAUUAGAGAAAAAUAUUAGAAUAGUUAAUAUAUUGCGAGGGCUAUUAAAUUUAUUAAAUCUGAUCAAAUUUGAAUUAAAAUAAAUAUUU
rnacentral:lncRNA from 1 species